rnacentral:rRNA from 1 species
CGUGUAGGCGGGAAGGAAAGUCAGAUGUGAAAUCCCCAGGCUCAACCUGGGAACUGCAUUUGAAACUCCCUUUCUUGAGUACCGGAGAGGAAAGUGGAAUUCCUGGUGUAGAGGUGAAAUUCGUAGAUAUCAGGAGGAACACCAGUGGCGAAGGCGGCUUUCUGGACGGUAACUGACGCUGAGACGCGAAAGCGUGGGGAGCAAACAG